AUGAAGGAAUGGGAUGUCAGGAGUCCCGCAAUGACAGGUUACUACAACACAGUGAGAAAGCUAGAGAAGAAGUUUGAGGGAUUGGAGCUCCACCACAUACCACGAAUCGAAAAUCAAGCUGCUGAUGAUUUGGCGAAGAUAGGUUCCACUCAGAAGCCUAUCCCCAUCAAUGUGUUCUUGGAGCAUCUCUAUACCCCGUCAAUACAGUAA
rnacentral:rRNA from 1 species